rnacentral:rRNA from 1 species
UACGUAGGAAGCGAGCGUUGUCCGGAUUCAUUGGGCGUAAAGCGCUUUAAGGCGGUUCGCUAAGUCGCGUGUGAAACCUCCAGGCUCAACCUGGAGACGCCACGCGAUACUGGCGUGACUAGAGUUCGGUAGGGGAUCACGGAAUUCCCGGUGUAGCGGUGAAAUGCGCAGAUAUCAGGAGGAACACCGGUGGCGAAGGCGGUGAUCUGGGCCGACACUGACGCUGUAGAGCGAAAGCGUGGGGAGCGAACAGG